GCCUGGCCCUAAAUAUUGAUGCUUCAUCCUACCUAAGCAUCCGCCCGAGAACUACGAGCACAAACGCUUAAAACUCUAAGGACUUGGCGGUGCUCCAAACCCACCUAGAGGAGCCUGUUCUGUAAUCGAUGAUCCACGAUCUACCUAACCAUUUCUUGCAAAAUCAGCCUAUAUACCGCCGUCGCCAGCCCACCCUCUCUGAAGGCCUAACAGUGAGCGCAAUAGUCUAACCCACUAGCAAGACAGGUCAAGGUAUAGCCUAUGGAAUGGGAGCAAUGGGCUACAUUUUCUAAGCUAGAACAUUACGGCAAAGAGGUCUGAAACGGCCUCUCGAAGGCGGAUUUAGCAGUAAAGUGGGAUAAUCAAGCCCUCUUUAAGCCGGCUCUGGAGCACGU
rnacentral:rRNA from 1 species